GCAGCAGCCACGGUAAUACGAAGGGUGCAAGCGUUACUCGGAAUUACUGGGCGUAAAGCGUGCGUAGGUGGUGGUUUAAGUCCGUUGUGAAAGCCCUGGGCUCAACCUGGGAAUUGCAGUGGAUACUGGGUCACUAGAGUGUGGUAGAGGAUAGUGGAAUUUCCGGUGUAGCAGUGAAAUGCGUAGAGAUCGGAAGGAACAUCUGUGGCGAAGGCGACUAUCUGGGCCAACACUGACACUGAGGCACGAAAGCGUGGGGAGCAAACAGGAUUAGAUACCCCCGUAGUCCCUGUCUCUUAUAC
rnacentral:rRNA from 1 species